CAAAUUAAAUCUUAAAAGUUAAGAUUUUUAUUUACAUUAAAAAAAAAUUGUGCAAUUCAAUGUAAUUUGA
rnacentral:tRNA from 1 species